rnacentral:rRNA from 1 species
CUUAGUGGCGGACGGGUGAGUAACGCGUGGGUAACCUGCCCCAUACCGGGGGAGUACCAACCUGGAAACAGGUGCUAAUACCGCAUAAGCGCACGGGAGCGCAUGCUCCUGUGUGAAAAACUCCGGUGGUAUGGGAUGGACCCGCGUCUGAUUAGCCAGUUGGCAGGGUAACGGCCUACCAAAGCGACGAUCAGUAGCCGGCCUGAGAGGGUGGACGGCCACAUUGGGACUGAGACACGGCCCAAACUCCUACGGAAGGCAGCAG